rnacentral:rRNA from 1 species
UUGAACGCUGGCGGCAUGCUUUACACAUGCAAGUCGAACGGCAGCGGGGGCUUUGGCCUGCCGGCGAGUGGCGAACGGGUGAGUAAUGCAUCGGAACGUACCCAGUCGUGGGGGAUAACUACGCGAAAGCGUAGCUAAUACCGCAUACGCCCUGAGGGGGAAAGCGGGGGACCUUCGGGCCUCGCGCGAUUGGAGCGGCUGAUGUCGGAUUAGCUAGUUGGUGGGGUAAAGGCUCACCAAGGCGACGAUCUGUAGCUGGUCUGAGAGGACGACCAGCCAAACUGGAACUGAGACACGGUCCAGACUCCUACGGGAGGCAGCAGUGGGGAAUUUUGGACAAUGGGCGCAAGCCUGAUCCAGCAAUGCCGCGUGCAGGAUGAAGGCCUUCGGGUUGUAAACUGCUUUUGUACGGAACGAAAAGACUCCUUCUAAUAAAGGGGGUUCAUGACGGUACCGUAAGAAUAAGCACCGGCUAACUACGU